GUACAGUAGAGGAGUGGUAGAAGGAGAGAUGAAUGAGGAGAAGGAGGUACAGCAGAGGAGUGGUAGAGGGAGAGAUGAAUGAGGAGGAGGUAGAGGAGUGGUAGAGGGGGAGAUGAAUGACUACAAGGAGGUACAGUAGAGGAGUGGUAGAGGGGGAGAUGACUGACUAGAAGGAGGUACAGUAGAGGAGUGGUAGAGGGAGAGAUGAAUGAUGAGAAGGAGGUAGAGGAGUGGUAGAAGGAGAGAUGAAUGAGGAGAAGGAGGUACAGUAAAGGACUGGUAGAGGGAGAGAUGAAUGAGGAGGAGGUACAGUAGAGGAGUGGUAGAAGGAGAGAU
rnacentral:lncRNA from 1 species